rnacentral:rRNA from 1 species
GAUGAACGCUGACAGAAUGCUUAACACAUGCAAGUCUUUGGCGAAUCUGUGCUUGCACAGGCUAGCCAAGGCGGACGGGUGAGUAACGCGUAAAGAACUUGCCCUGCAGACAGGGAUAACAGACGGAAACGACUGAUAACACCUGAUACAGUUGCCGGCACGCAUGUGCCUGGCAAUGAAAAGAGAUGCUGCAGGAGAGCUUUGCGUCCUAUUAGCUUGUUGGUGAGGUGACGGCUCACCAAGGCGAUGAUAGGUAGCCGGCCUGAGAGGGUGAACGGCCACAAGGGGACUGAGAUACGGCCCUUACUCCUACGGGAGGCAGCAGUGGGGAAUAUUGGACAAUGGGGGCAACCCUGAUCCAGCAAUUCUGUGCGCACGAAGAAGGUUUUCGGAUUGUAAAGUGCUUUCAGCAGGGAAGAAGAAAGUGACGGUACCUGCAGAAGAAGCGACGGCUAAAUACGUG